rnacentral:rRNA from 1 species
GGAAGUAAAAGUCGUAACAAGGUUUCCGUAGGUGAACCUGCGGAAGGAUCAUUAUAAAAUUUUCGUAUAUUAAUUUUUUAAAUAUAUAAAAUUACACAUUCAAAACCCACACUCUUGUAACCAUCUAUAAAAUAUAUUAUAUCUUGAAUAUAAUAAUUAAAAACAACUUUCAACAACGGAUCUCUUGGCUCUCGCAUCGAUGAAGAACGCAGCGAAUUGCGAUAAGUAAUGUGAAUUGCAGAAUUACGUGAAUCAUCAAAUCUUUGAACGCAUAUUGCACUCUCUGGUAAUCCGGGGAGUAUGCCUGUUUGAGGGUCAGUAAAUAAUAAAUUAUCACAAUCGUUGGCUGUGGAAUUGGGCUCUUAUUUCGAAUAGAUUUAUGGCCUUAAAUUUACGUCAUGUGCUUAAUUCGAACCAAACGGAGCAAUUAAACAUUCUCUCGUUAGACGGAUUACUCACAAGCCAUUACGAUUUUUUGGACGACAAAAAGCACUUUCACGAGCGCGAAGCCCAAGAUCGUAAAUUCAUCCUGACAAAUGACCUCAAAUCAGGCAAGAAUACCCGCUGAACUUAAGCAUAUCAAUAAGCGGAGGA